GGUGACAAAUCCUUUUGCUAUGAAGAUGACCACAGGGUUCUUGUUUGUGAGUUCAUCCUCUAGAAUGUAUUGGGUUGUCGCCACGAAAAAACACACGAAUACAUACAUUCAAAUAAUUUCUGGUGCUGUGGAGUAUUCAUAAUUGUGUGCUUUUGUUGAAUCCUUCAUGUACCAUAAUUCUUACUGCUUGCAAGCCCUUUUAGAAUGUGACUUUAGGAUGUAGAAAUUGGUGAAAGGAGACAAGAAAUUAUUCUCUAAACUACUAUUUUUUAUAGGCAAGGGAGGCUGGAAGCACCUUUUUUGCAUGGGAGCUGCAUGGAGAGAAAUUAUUGGCAGAAAACAAACUUAGAACAGAUUCUUGAAUGUGCCAAGGGAAUAAGCUUCGCUUGCUGCAAUUCCUGUGCUGCUUGGCGCCACAAAAGGAGCAGAGGUGUGAUUUGCUUGCUUUGCAGGGAGCGGGGUCAUAGUCUGAAGAACUGUCCUGACAAAAGCGAGGGAAAUUUGAAGAAAUUUUGCUAGAACUGUGGUGAAUCUGGACACUGUCUUUCCAAGUGCCCCAAGCCCAUUGAGAAUGGGUUACAAAUUUUGCAAGCUGCUUUAUCUGCAAUCAGCAAGGACAUUUGAGCAAGAACUGCCCU